rnacentral:rRNA from 1 species
GACGAACGCUGGCGGCGUGCUUAACACAUGCAAGUCGAACGGAAAGGCCCUGCUUUUGUGGGGUGCUCGAGUGGCGAACGGGUGAGUAACACGUGAGUAACCUGCCCUUGACUUUGGGAUAACUUCAGGAAACUGGGGCUAAUACCGGAUAGGAGCUCCUGCUGCAUGGUGGGGGUUGGAAAGGUUCGGCGGUUGGGGAUGGACUCGCGGCUUAUCAGCUUGUUGGUGGGGUAGUGGCUUACCAAGGCUUUGACGGGUAGCCGGCCUGAGAGGGUGACCGGGGAGGAGGGAGCGUAGAAGGGGGAGGAGGGGGGAGGGUAGGCAGCAGUGGGGGGGAGGGUGCAGUGGCGGGGAGGCGAGAGCAGUGGCGCCGUGAGGGGGAGGACGCGCGAGGGGAAGAGAAACGUGCGCGCCUGGAACGAGGGGGGAGUGACGGUAGUGAAUAAAGAAGCGCCGGCUACCUACGUG